rnacentral:rRNA from 1 species
AUUGAACGCUGGCGGCAGGCCUAACACAUGCAAGUCGAACGGUAGCACAGAGAGCUUGCUCUCGGGUGACGAGUGGCGGACGGGUGAGUAAUGUCUGGGAAACUGCCCGAUGGAGGGGGAUAACUACUGGAAACGGUAGCUAAUACCGCAUAACGUCGCAAGACCAAAGUGGGGGACCUUCGGGCCUCACACCAUCGGAUGUGCCCAGAUGGGAUUAGCUAGUAGGUGGGGUAAUGGCUCACCUAGGCGACGAUCCCUAGCUGGUCUGAGAGGAUGGACAGCCACACUGGAACGGAGAAACGGUCCAGACUCCUACGGGAGGCAGCAGUGGGGGAUAUUGCACAAUGGGCGCAAGCCGGAUGCAGCCAUGCCGCGUGUAUGAAGAAGGCCUUCGGGUUGUAAAGUACUUUCAGCGGGGAGGAAGGCGGUGAAGUUAAUAGCUUCACUGAUUGACGUUACCCGCAGAAGAAGCACCGGCUGACUCCGUGCCAGCCGCCGCAGUAA